GCAUUGUCAUCAGUGGGUGAUGGUAAUGAAUACCUUAAAUCCUUGCAAUUAGUGCUUGCUGCUGAAACAACCUUGCUUGUUCCUCGAUGCAUCACUUUGGCAUGGAUGAACCUCCUUGAAAACUUCUCCUCGAGAUCUUCGUGUCCAGGCUGCUGCUUUAAUCAAAAACUUCUGCAAAAUGAAAGGAAGAUAGAGAAAUGCAUGGCUAACUGAAAGAGGAGUAGAAGAGAGAAAACAUACUGUAUUGUGAGUUGAAAGAGAAGGUGCUUUAAUGGCGUCGAAGGAGAUGGAGAGCUUGGAAAAAGAAGAUGACCAUGAACUAGAAGUGGGUUUGUGAAGGAAACUGGAGACUAAUGUGGCUGCCGAUGACGAUGACUCGGGAAUUGACGUGCUUAACAACAUUUUUCACUUUCCUCUCAAGGAUUCGCUGCAACUUCCCUUCUGAAAGCUGCAAACUACGGCAAACCAUUAGGUAAUGAGGGUGUCUAAAGGCUGAAACCCAUGUCCAAGUGUUGCCUUCCAAACUCGAUCGAUAUCGGACAUUCCAUAGCCACAUUCGUGCUCUGUCCACCCCUCCAUUGCAUGCACCACACCAGCAAUGCGCCAUGCGCUCAUCACUCGCCUCGGUAACCAAUUCUGCAACCAAUGAAAUUAAAGUUCAUUUUGGCCCUACCUAUACUUAGUAUUAAAUAUAUAUAUAUAUAUAUAGUUUGAUCAUUUAAUGUAAAGUAGUGUAUUUGAAAAUUUGUUGUGAGUGGUGUUUUUUACCUCACAAGAAUGCAUGUUUUCAAGGGAAGGAGGAGCUUUCAUUGCAGGAGUGCAGUGGUAAAAGCAAUCUUUCCGUACAAUCUUUGGAGGGAAUUGAGAGAAUGGGAUGAAAGUUGUGCCUUUUGGAGCCUUCAGCUGUUCUUCAUCUCUUUUCAAGUUGGUUGCUUUCAACAAUAAAUGUACUACCAUAGAUCCACGUCAGCAGCAUGGUGAUUGGGGACAGCAAGCAGAGAUACCACGUGGAGUUGUGGGGCCUGGAUGCCAGCUCUGCAAAUCCCAGCCGUAGA